rnacentral:rRNA from 1 species
UACGUCGGGUGCAAGCGUUCAUCGGAAUUACUGGGCGUAAAGCGUGCGCAGGCGGUUAUGUAAGACAGUUGUGAAAUCCCCGGGCUCAACCUGGGAACUGCAUCUGUGACUGCAUAGCUAGAGUACGGUAGAGGGGGAUGGAAUUCCGCGUGUAGCAGUGAAAUGCGUAGAUAUGCGGAGGAACACCGAUGGCGAAGGCAAUCCCCUGGACCUGUACUGACGCUCAUGCACGAAAGCGUGGGGAGCAAACAGG